AUACUUGAAACAUAUGAAGUAAUCACUAGAAGCCUCCUAGACCGCCCUAACGUUCCCUGCCAUGGAUUUAAAAGCAAAGAUUCAACAGUUCUAAAAUUUACUAAUACAUGUAUGAAUUUACUCCUGAAAUUAACGUUUUAUAAUUUGCUUUCUUACCUACCGACAACAUGAAAUUAUGAUCAAAUACACUAACCCAAAAGACUCAAAAGCAGUGCAGCUAGGAGAGACAUAUGGACAAUUAAAAUAGGAAAAAUAGGAAAUAUCCAAGACAUAGUACUUUUAGCCAAUCUUAUAGCUCCUGUCACCUCCACCUCGUUUGAAGCACUUGAUGUUGGAUAAAUGUUCAACUAUCAAACAAUAUUAAAUCAUAAAAGAUUUACGAAACACUUGAAAUCAACAUAAAAUUAGAAGGCAAUAGUCAGAAAGUAUGCAAAAGCAUUUCAUCGAACACCUAAAUUACAAA
rnacentral:lncRNA from 1 species